AGAGAAAACACAACAACGUGAGGACGUGGAAAAAGUAUAGUGUUAUUGCACGCUCGUGACAGGAAAGAAAUAAGGAGGAUUUAACGUUUCGAGCGGAGCUCUUCGUCAGAAACAUAGGAAAGAGAAAGACCCAAGGAAGGGAAAACGGACGAAAAAAAGUCGUCAACGAUACACACACGGUCGCAGAGAGAGAGAGAGAGAGCAAAAAAGUGACAG